AAGAGAGCGUGCGUGCUUCCUACGCGAGGACAGCGACGGGAUUCGUUUUGGCUGGCGCGUGGGCCCCGCGUGUCAGCGAGGGAGAUUCCCGCAAGGCACGUUGGGUUUGUGGGGCAAGGGUGUCGGUGAGUUGGUGGAAGUUUUCAUGGGGUAGGUAGGGUCUGUCUUCCCUCCGCCGCCGCUUCACCUGUUGCCACGCCGCUCGACGGCGGCGGCGGAUGAAUGCUGGGCCGUGGAGCAGCAAGCGGGUGGCGGCGGACAGAUCUGCCGGAGAGGGGACUCGUCCUCGCCGGCGUCGGUCCAUCGGCCGAUUCGGGGUCCCAUCCCGGUUCGUGUCUCCUUGUUAUCGAGCCAAUUUCGGCGUGCUCAAUUUGCUUCUCAGGAGUUUAGCGGUGCUAAAUUGUUGUGUGGUUUCCUGAUAGACAUCUCGGGGGGACCUAGCCUGAAAGUUGAUGUACUGUUGGCUGGUUUCUUGAUUUUUAACCUCUAUCCUGAAGGUUAUGCUCCCAGGGAUAGGCUUCUAUUAUAAUGGGCAAGCUAAGAAGUUCAGUUAGUUCGGAGGAUUGGUUUGCUUAUGUCUAGCCGAAAAAAAGGAGUGGUGUGGUUCUGGUGAUAAGGAACUUGUCUUAUCUCAUUUAGAUGGAAGACAAUUGUGAUUGUUAAAAUGCUUCCAUGUUUCUGAAUAGUUUAUUUCUUUAUUGUCUGUCUACCAUUUAGACAAUGGAAGAAGGGAGAAGGGAUUAUCCGAGAAUACAAGCAAACAUUCAAGGUUUGUACUGCUUUUAUUCUAGGUUUUUUUAGAUGUUCAAGGUAUUCAACAACACUUACAAGCUUAUUACCCCUGUCUCCAAACU